GACCAACCGCAGAGAGGACCCAAGAAUUCUCAAUGAGCCCUGCUGUGGCUGGCUUAGCAGGAGCCAGGCAGGAGGCCCAGCACAGCCUGGGAAAGGCAGACAAGCAAAUUUCAGGAAGGCGCUGGAGCGAGAAGGGCCUCCCUCGCCCUCCGCCCAGGCCCUGGGGGGCAGGGGCACCCUAGUGGCCUGGAGGGGAGGGAAGGGGGCCAGCUGAGGAGUCUGUUAAUCCGACUCCCACCCUGGUCCCCCACAAGCCCAGCUAGGAGCCCAGAUAGAUGGGCGAGGAAAGACUACCUGAACCGCAGGCCACAGGCUCAGUCCAUUCCUGUGUCCCUGGGGCAAGACCUGGGAGCUGGAAAGAAGGAAGAAGCAGACGGGCGGCCAAGUAUGAGCACAGGGAGCCCCAGACGCGCGGCAGUGGGUGGGGGAGGUGGAGGCUCUGCGGGGCGCUGGCUGGGCCGGGGGUGCCACGUGUUAGGAUAGAAGCUCCGGCUGGCUGCCAGCAGGCCCGAGCAGGGCACCUUGCCGCUGAAGGAGGCAAGCACGGGCAGAGGAGGCUCCAGAAAGCUGUCCCUGGGGCUGAGGAAACACAAGGCCGCCUGCGUGCGGAAAGGGCAGAGGAGCUUGUAUCUGCCCUUCUGAGGAGGGUUGCCAUCUGCCCCCGGACUUGACCACCACCUCAGGAAUAAGGACGAGAGAUCCCAGCACCAGGCCUCAAGUUUCCAAAGCCGAACCCAUCCUGCCCCAGGCCCCAAACAGCUGCCACUUGCAUGGGAAAUGUAGCCGCGUAGAGGGAAGAUGGAUGAUGUGAAGAGACAUGGGAGAAGACAGCCAUCUACAAGCCAAGGAGAGAGGCCUGGAGCAGAUUUCUCCUUCACAGUCCGCAGCAGGACCAACACUGCCAACACCUUCAUCCAGCCUCCAGAACUGACUUCUCAGAACCUUUAGUAUACUGCGGCUCUCCAAAAGAAUGUGUACAGCAUGUAGCAUUUUCCGGCCUUCUUUUACUCUUGUGGGACACCUGCCAUCCUAGGUAGGGGCUACAUGACACCACAGUGCUGCUCUAGGAUGGCAAAACCAGGUCUACAUGUGGAAGAAGAAAACCCUGAUCUCAAGGGGCAGGUCCUCUUCCUACCCCCGUGGCAGGUUAGCUGAGCACCCGGGAUUGAUGUCACCGUGGGAUUUCUCACCACCUGGGGUUCAGCCAGCACCAGAGCCCAGUGGUGGACGGCUUGUCCCCAAUCACACAACAUCAUUCCCUUUAGGCCCCACUGCUGUUCUGCAUGUGGCCCUGGUGGCGAUGAUGCUCUCAAGAGCCUGUCCCACCCCGGUCACAGGAAGGGGAUGUGGCUAAGGCCCCAGCAACUGUGAUUGGUCCAAAGGUGGCACAUUACCCAAGCAGGGCCAAUCAGACACUGCCCUGGGAUUGUUUGGGGCACUGAGGCUGCUGUAGGAGGAGGUCAGUCUGAAAGGAGAUGAUAAGACCAAAUGGUGAAGCAGACACAAGCAGCGAUGGACCUAGAAGAGGAGAAUCCCCUCAAAAGCAGUGAGUCUCCAGUUCCAGUCCCUGAGGCCCUGGUUCCCGCAGCAACUGCGUUCAUCCUACAAACUUACCCCCAGAGCCUCUCCAGCGACGGGAUCCAGUUGGAGAUGGGUUUCUGCUGCCUUCAAGUCAGAAGGUUGUGACCACUGCACGUCCCUGAGCCUGGGGUUGCUUUACCAGCCAAGGCAGGCCCAACAGGGCUGUGGGUAUGGGUUGCCACACAGGUGUCAGGGCCCAGCCCCCCUGAAACGUGCCCUGAGGCCUCAGCCAGAGAAACAGACCAUGUCCUUCUCUCUGUAGGUCCCAAGUUUCUUUGUUUUUGUUCAGAAAAUAGAGUCACUGUAUCUGUGGGUCACAGAGGGCUCAGCAGAGGAAGCUAUUUCAAGGUCAAGGUUAUUCAUUCAUUUAACAAAUCUUUAUUGAGAGGCUACAAUAUGUCAGGUACUGGAGACAUAGCAGUGCAGAAGCCAGAUGAGGUUCCUGUUCCCACGAGCUUACCUUCUAGUGGGAGGAAUGAGAGAUAAACAAGCAAAGGAAGAAAUUCAUAAAUGAGGCUUUUUCAGAUAAAGAAAAUAAACAGAAAAAUGGGAUAGAGCAUGUCAGGGAGGAGAAAGCAAUAUAGGGUGGUCAGUGAAGCCCCUUCAAGGGGGUGCUAUGGUCUGAAUGUUUGUGCCCCACCCCCCCCCAAAAAAAUUCAUAUGUUGCAAUCCUAACACCCAAUGUGAUGGUGUUAGGAGG